UGAACUACCUGACAAGGGAGAUACUGUGAUCACGAAGGUGGUUCUCCCAUAGCGAGGCUCAGCCAUUGCACUGUGGGUGUGUUGACUUCUGCGAUGUCUCCAAAUGCGGGAAACUCGACUGCAUAAUUUGUGGUAGUGGGGGACUGCGUGCACGCUCUCUCCUG